rnacentral:rRNA from 1 species
CAGGUUGACCUCGGAUCAGGUAG